UACGUAGGGUGCGAGCGUUAAUCGGAAUUACUGGGCGUAAAGCGUGCGCAGGCGGGCUUUUAAGCCAGACGUGAAAUCCCCGGGCUUAACCUGGGAAUGGCGUUUGGGACUGGGAGUCUGGAGUGCGGCAGAGGAGACUGGAAUUCCUGGUGUAGCAGUGGAAAUGCGUAGAUAUCAGGAGGAACACCGAUGGCGGAAGGCAGGUCUCUGGGCUGACACUGACGCUCAUGCACGAAAGGCGUGGGGAGCGAACAGG
rnacentral:rRNA from 1 species